UACAGAGGUCUCAAGCGUUGUUCGGAUUCAUUGGGCGUAAAGGGCGCGUAGGCGGCAAGGCAAGUCGGGUGUGAAAGCUUGGGGCUUAACCCCGAAAGGGCACUCGAAACUGCGUUGCUAGAGGGCCGGAGAGGAGAUCGGAAUUCACGGUGUAGCAGUGAAAUGCGUAGAGCUCGUGAGGAAGACCGGUGGCGAAGGCGGAUCUCUGGACGGCCCCUGACGCUGAGGCACGAAGGUCAGGGGAGCAAACGGG
rnacentral:rRNA from 1 species